rnacentral:rRNA from 1 species
AGGAUGUUUCUUAUAUGUAAGUAAGUUACUAGAUUGUUAAUAAAAGUGAUUUUAAGUAAGUGAUUUUAGUAUAUAAUUAGAAUAAAUAGACUUGAUUAUAGAGUAUAGUACUGUAAAGGAAUGAUUAAGGAAAAGUGAUUUAUAGGAAAGAAUAAGUUAAGUUAGUACCUUUUGUAUCAGGGUUUAUUAAGAUUUAACCUUUAAUUAGUGUAUCCCGAAUUUAAUAGGGUUAUUCUUUUAUAAUAGUUGAUGUUGAAUAAUCAUUAUUAAUAUAAGAAUAGUAAUGAAAUGUUAAUCGAUUUUAAAGAUAUCUGGUUUCUUAAGAGCUUAAUUUAAUUAAGGUUAUAUUUAAGUUAAAAUAGCAUUGAAUUUAUUAUAAUAAAUAUAAACAAAGAUUGUAAGGGAUAAGCUUUUCAAUCAUCAAUAUAAGGGAAAUUUCAUUAAUUUUAUAAGCUUAAAAUUAGCUAUUAAUAGGAGUGUGUAAAGAUAAAUUAGUGUGUGUAGACAAUUUUCUUAGAGUUUGAUUACUUAUUGAGACUAUUACUUUAAUUAUGAAGUAAUGAGAUAAUGAUAAAAUUAGUAUAAGGUUAUUUAAAGUGUUUUAUUUAGUAAAAUAGUGAUUAAAGAAUUAGGCAAAUUUUACCUUCACCUGUUUAACAAAAACAUGGCCUUUUGAAUGAAUAGAAGGUCCAACCUGCUCACUGAUAGUUUAAAGAGCCGCGGUAUUUUGACCGUGCAAAGGUAGCAUAAUCAUUAGUCUUUUAAUUGGGGAAUAGUAUGAAAGGUUAGAUGAGGGGUAGACUGUUUCAAUCAUUAUAAUAGAAUUUUAUCUUUAAGUGAAAAAGCUUAAAUGUUAUUUUAGGACGAGAAGACCCUAUAGAGUUUUAUGUUUGUUAAUUUAUUAUAAUUUUAAGUUAAAUAUAAAUAGAUAAAUUAUAUAACAAUUCAUUGGGGUGAUGGUAAAGAUAGAUAAACCUUUAAUUUUAAAUUACAUAAGUUAAUGAAUAUUAUAUUGAUCCAUGUUUAAUGAGUAUAAGAAAGAAUUACCUUAGGGAUAACAGCGUAAUCAUUUUUGAGAGUUCAAAUCAACAAAAUGGGUUGCGACCUCGAUGUUGGAUUAAGAUAAGGCUAAGGAGCAGGAGUUUUAGCUUUAGGUCUGUUCGACCUUGAUAUCUUACAUGAUCUGAGUUCAGACCGGCGUGAGCCAGGUCGGUUUCUAUCCAAAAUUCUUUAAUUUAGUUUAGUACGAAAGGACCAAUUAAGUAAGUUAAACUUUUUUUUAAAGGAUAAUUUUAAUACA